rnacentral:rRNA from 1 species
UACGGGGGGGGCGAGCGUUGUUCGGAAUUACUGGGCGUAAAGGGUUUGUAGGUGGUCUGCUAAGUCAGACGUGAAAUCCCUCGGCUUAACCGGGGAACUGCAUCUGAUACUGGAUGGCUUGAGUUUGGGAGAGGGAUGCGGAAUUCCAGGUGUAGCGGUGAAAUGCGUAGGUAUCUGGAGGAACACCGGUGGCGAAGGCGGCAUCCUGGACCAACACUGACACUGAGGAGCGAAAGCCAGGGGAGCAAACGGG